rnacentral:rRNA from 1 species
GGAUUAGGCAUGCAAGUCGAGCGAGAAAGCCCGCAAGGGUGAGUAAAGCGGCGAAAGGGUGAGUAAUGCAUAGAUAACCUACCUCUGGGAUGGGGAUAACCUCUCGAAAGGGAGACUAAUACCCAGUAAGACCACGGGUCGCAUGUCCUGUGGUUAAAGAUAGCUUCGGCCUUCGCCUGGAGAGGGGUCUAUGUGCUAUUAGCUUGUUGGUGGGGUAACGGCCCACCAAGGCUGCGAUGGCUAGCCGACCUGAGAGGGUGACCGGCCACACUGGGACUGAGACACUGCCCAGACUCCUACGGGAGGCUGCAGUCGAGAAUCUUCCGCAAUGCGCGAAAGCGUGACGGAGCGACGCCGCGUGGGGGAUGAAGGCCUUCGGGUUGUAAACCCCUGUCACCUGGGAAGAAUGGCAGGCAGUUAAUAGCUGGCCUGUUUGACGUUACCAGGGGAGGAAGCACCGGCUAAAUACGUGCCAGCAGCCGCGGUAAUACGUAUGGUGCGAACGUUGUUCGGAAUCACUGGGCUUAAAGAGCACGUAGGCGGUCGAGCAAGUCUGUUGUGAAAUCCCCCGGCUCAACUGGGGAACUGCAUCGGAUACUGCUUGGCUUGAGUGCAGGAGGGGAGAGUGGAAUUCCUGGUGGAGCGGUGAAAUGCGUAGAUAUCAGGAGGAACGCCGGUGGCGAAAGCGACUCUCUGGCCUGCUACUGACGCUGAGGUGCGAAAGCUAGGGGAGCAAACGGGAUUAGAUACCCCGGUAGUCCUAGCCCUAAACGAUGGGCACUAAGUAGAGGGGUUUU